rnacentral:rRNA from 1 species
CAGGCGGUUUGUUAAGCUAGAUGUGAAAGCCCCGGGCUCAACCUGGGAAGGGCAUUUAGAACUGGCAGACUAGAGUCUUGGAGAGGGGAGUGGAAUUCCAGGUGUAGCGGUGAAAUGCGUAGAUAUCUGGAGGAACAUCAGUGGCGAAGGCGACUCCCUGGCCAAAGACUGACGCUCAUGUGCGAAAGUGUGGGUAGCGAACAGGAUUAGAUACCCUGGUAGUCCACACCGUAAACGAUGUCUACUAGCUGUUUGUGGCUUUAAGGCGUGGGUAGCGAAGCUAACGCGAUAAGUAGACCGCCUGGGGAGUACGGCCGCAAGGUUAAAACUCAAAUGAAUUGACGG